ncrna:unclassified sequences SAM/SAH riboswitch
GCGACCCCACAACGGCUUCCUGGCGUGGGGACACACACAUAAUGGAGCA